rnacentral:rRNA from 1 species
UACAGAGGUCUCAAGCGUUGUUCGGAUUCAUUGGGCGUAAAGGGUGCGUAGGUGGCGCGCUAAGUCAGGUGUGAAAUUUCGGAGCUUAACUCCGAAACUGCAUUUGAUACUGGCGUGCUUGAGGACUGGAGAGGAGACUGGAAUUCAUGGUGUAGCAGUGAAAUGCGUAGAGAUCGGAAAGAACACCAACGGCGAAAGCACUCUGCUGGGCCGACACUGACACUGAGAGACGAAAGCUAGGGGAGCGAAUGGG